CGGGCUGGACCUCUCGGGGUUACAGCCUUGCUGAAUUAUUCACCCUUGUCUUUUGCGUACUUCUUGUUUCCUUGGUGGGUUCGCCCACCACUAGGACAAACAUAAACCUUUUGUAAUUGCAAUCAGCGUCAGUAACAAAUUAAUAAUUACAACUUUCAACAACGGAUCUCUUGGUUCUGGCAUCGAUGAAGAACGCAGCGAAAUGCGAUAAGUAGUGUGAAUUGCAGAAUUCAGUGAAUCAUCGAAUCUUUGAACGCACAUUGCGCCCUUUGGUAUUCCAAAGGGCAUGCCUGUUCGAGCGUCAUUUGUACCCUCAAGCUUUGCUUGGUGUUGGGCGUCUUGUCUCUAGCUUUGCUGGAGACUCGCCUUAAAGUAAUUGGCAGCCGGCCUACUGGUUUCGGAGCGCAGCACAAGUCGCACUCUCUAUCAGCAAAGGUCUAGCAUCCAUUAAGCCUUUUUUUCAACUUUUGACCUCGGAUCAGGUAG
rnacentral:rRNA from 2 species